ACUCAAAUGAAUAGACGGGGACCCGCACAACCAGUGGAGCGUGUGGUUCAAUUUGAGACAAAGCAAAAAACCUCACCAGGGUUUGACAUGGUACUGCAAGUCGCAAGAAAAGGCGACCCUCCGCCUUUGGCGGACGGUAUCACAGGUGCUGCAUGGCUGUCGUCAGCUCGUGCCGUGAGGUGUUCCCUUAAGUGGGGAAACGAGUGCAACCCUUGUCCUGUGUUAAAUUGUUCACAGGAGACUGCCCCGCUUUGCGGGGAGGAAGGAGAGGCAGAUGUCAAGUCAGCAUGGCCCUUAUACCCUGGGCUACACACACCCUACAAUGGCGAAAAACAACGAGCAGCAAGCACGCGAGUGCAAGCUAAUCUCUCAAAUUUCGCCUCAGUUCAGAUUGCAGUCUGCAAUUCGACUGCAUGAAGUCGGAAUUGGUAGUAAUCGCGGAUCAGCGGGCCGCGGUGAAUACGUUCUCGGGUCUUGCACACACCGCCCGU
rnacentral:rRNA from 1 species